rnacentral:rRNA from 1 species
GAUGAACGCUGGCGGCGUGCCUAAUACAUGCAAGUCGAGCGAACGGACGAGAAGCUUGCUUUUCUGAUGUUAGCGGCGGACGGGUGAGUAACACGUGGAUAACCUACCUAUAAGACUGGGAUAACUUCGGGAAACCGGAGCUAAUACCGGAUAAUAUUUUGAACCGCAUGGUUCAAAAGUGAAAGACGGUCUUGCUGUCACUUAUAGAUGGAUCCGCGCUGCAUUAGCUAGUUGGUAAGGUAACGGCUUACCAAGGCAACGAUACAUAUCCGACCUGAGAGGGUGAUCGGCCACACUGGAACUGAGACACGGUCCAGACUCCUACGGGAGGCAGCAGUAGGGAAUCUUCCGCAAUGGGCGAAAGCCUGACGGAGAAACGCCGCGUGAGUAAUGAAGGUCUUCGGAUCGUAAAACUCUGUUAUUAGGGAAGAACAUAUGUGUAAGUAACUGUGCACAUCUUGACGGUACCUAAUCAGAAAGCCACGGCUAACUACGUG